GAUGAAGAACGCAGCGAAAUGCGAUAAGUAAUGUGAAUUGCAGAAUCCAGUGAAUCAUCGAAUCUUUGAACGCACAUUGCGCCCGCCAGCAUUCUGGCGGGCAUGCCUGUUCGAGCGUCAUUUCAACCCUCGACCUCCCUUUGGGGAAGUCGGCGUUGGGGACCGGCAGCACACCGCCGGCCCUGAAAUGGAGUGGCGGCCCGUCCGCGGCGACCUCUGCGUAGUAAACCAACUCGCACCGGAACCCCGACGUGGCCACGCCGUAAAACCCCCAACUUCUGAACGUUGACCUCGAAUCAGGUAGGACUACCCGCUGAACUUAAGCAUAUCAAUAAGCGGAGGA
rnacentral:misc_RNA from 1 species